rnacentral:rRNA from 1 species
UUUUUUUUUAAAAUAAAAUAAAGGUUCGAAGGUGAAGCUGCUGGAACCGGAAUCAUUAACGAUUUCGGUUUACACCGCUUUUCUACCUAUGUCUACCCUGUACACAUGUUUUCCUCGGGGGGCUUGCCCCCCGCUUAGGACUCUUUAUCAACCUUUUUGCAAUAGCAGUCAGCGUCUGAUAAUAAUUUAAAUUAUUAAAAACUUUCCAACAAUGGAUUCUCUUGGUUCUGGCAUCGAUGAAAGAACGCAGCGAAAUGCGAUAAGUAGUGUGAAUUGCUGAAAUUCAGUGAAUCCAUCGAAAUCUUUGAACGCACAUUGCGCCCCCAUGGUAUUCCAUGGGGCAAUGCCUGUUCGAGCGUCAUUUUGAAACCCUCAAGCUUUGCUUGGUGUUGGGUGUUUGUCCCGCCGUUGCGUGUGGACUCCGCCUUAAAGGAAUUGGCAGCCAGUGUUAUCCCGGCUUUUGAGCGCAGCACAAUGCGUACUCUAUGCUGGUACAGUGGCAUCCAAAAGCCCAUUUUUUACCUCUUGACCUCGGAUCCAGGUAGGGAUACCCGCUGAACUUAAGCAUAUCAAUAAGCGGAGGAAAAGAAACCAACAGGGAUUGCCCUAGUAACGGCGAGUGAAGCGGCAACAGCUCAAAUUUGAAAUCUGACCUCUUCGGGGUCCGAGUUGUAAUUUGUAGAGGGUGCUUUGGUGUUGGCUGCGGUCUAAGUUCCUUGGAACAGGGACGUCAUAGAGGGUGAGAAUCCCGUCUGUGGUCGCAUGCCUUCACCGUGGUAAAGCCCCUUCGACGAGUCGAGUUGUUUGGGGAAUGCAGCUUCUAAAUGGGGAGGUAAAUUUCCUUCUAAAGCUAAAUACUGGCCAGAGACCGGAUAGCGCACAAGUAGAGUGAUCGAAAGAUGAAAAGCACUUUGGAAAAGAGAGUCAAACAGGCACGUGAAAUUGUUGAAAGGGAAGCGCUUGCAGCCAGAACUUGCUUAUAGUUGCUCAUCCGGGCGCUCGCCCCGGUGCACUCUUCUGUAGGCAGGCCAGCAUCAGUUUGGGCGGUUGGAUAAAGGCCCUCUGUCAUGUAUCUCCUUCAGGGAAGACCUUAUAGGGGAGGCGUAAUGCAACCAGCCUGAACUGAGGUCCGCGCUCUGCUGAUGCGUCGCAAAAAGGGUUAGGCCCUGAAAAAACGGAACAAAA